AGAGUUUGAUCCUGGCUCAGAACGAACGCUGGCGGCAGGCCUAACACAUGCAAGUCGAACGUGAAGCCACCUUCGGGUGGUGGAAAGUGGCAGACGGGUGAGUAACGCGUGGGAACGUGCCUUUCGGUUCGGAAUAACCCAGGGAAACUUGGGCUAAUACCGGAUACGCCCUUCGGGGGAAAGAUUCAUCGCCGAAAGAUCGGCCCGCGUCGGAUUAGCUAGUUGGUAGGGUAAUGGCCUACCAAGGCGACGAUCCGUAGCUGGUCUGAGAGGAUGACCAGCCACACUGGGACUGAGACACGGCCCAGACUCCUACGGGAGGCAGCAGUGGGGAAUAUUGGACAAUGGGCGAAAGCCUGAUCCAGCCAUGCCGCGUGGGUGAAGAAGGCCUUAGGGUUGUAAACCCCUUUCAGCGGGGAAGAUAAUGACGGUACCCGCAGAAGAAGCCCCGGCUAACUCCGUGCCAGCAGCCGCGGUAAUACGGAGGGGGCUAGCGUUGUUCGGAAUUACUGGGCGUAAAGCGCGCGUAGGCGGAUCUGCAAGUCGGGGGUGAAAUCCC
rnacentral:rRNA from 1 species